rnacentral:miRNA from 1 species
UGUGUGUGUGUGUGUGUGUGUGUGUGUGGCACACAUGCACACGCCCAUGCA